AGUGAACGCUGGCGGUAGGCCUAACACAUGCAAGUCAAACGGCAGCACAGUAAGAGCUUGCUCUUACGGGUGGCGAGUGGCGGACGGGUGCGGAAUACAUCGGAAUCUACUUUUUCGUGGGGGAUAACGUAGGGACACUUACGCUAAUACCGCAUACGACCUACGGGUGAAAGCAGGGGAUCUUCGGACCUUGCGCGAUUGUAUGAGCCGAUGUCGGAUUAGCUAGUUGGCGGGGUAAAGGCCCACCAAGGCGACGAUCCGUAGCUGGUCUGAGAGGAUGAUCAGCCACACUGGAACUGAGACACGGUCCAGACUCCUACGGGAGGCAGCAGUGGGGAAUAUUGGACAAUGGGCGCAAGCCUGAUCCAGCCAUACCGCGUGGGUGAAGAAGGCCUUCGGGUUGUAAAGCCCUUUUGUUGGGAAAGAAAAGCAGCAGGUUAAUACCCCGCUGUUCUGACGGUACCCAAAGAAUAAGCACCGGCUAACUUCGUG
rnacentral:rRNA from 1 species